rnacentral:rRNA from 1 species
GACGUAGGGCGCGAGCGUUGUCCGGAUUUAUUGGGCGUAAAGAGCUCGUAGGCGGCUCGUUGCGUCGGCUGUGAAAACCCGCAGCUCAACUGUGGGCUUGCAGCUGAUACGGGCGGGCUGGAGUUCGGUAGGGGAGAGUGGAAUUCCUGGUGUAGCGGUGAAAUGCGCAGAUAUCAGGAGGAACACCGGUGGCGAAGGCGGGUCUCUGGGCCGAUACUGACGCUGAGGAGCGAAAGCGUGGGGAGCGAACAGG